rnacentral:lncRNA from 10 species
CAGCAGGCACCUCCUAUCUGCCCCCGCCCCCGGCGUCACGUGACUAGCUGCGCUGGUGCACGCAGCCGGGAGGGGCGGGCUCCUUCCCCUGGCAAGCCGGAAGCUCCGCACCUACACUUGGUAGAAUGCACCGGUGAAGCUAUCUGGUCCUGCGCUUUUCUUUGUGGUCAUAAGGCUCCGAUCCCUGCUGAGAGGACCCUGCUCCACACCCAGAAGGAAAGAAAGCAUGCUCACAGAGACCACAAAAAACCUAGACAGACACUGGGUUUCCCCACUCUUUUUUCUUUUUUUUUUUUUUUUUUUUGAAGUGGAGUUUCAUUCUUGUCUCCCAGGCUGGAGUGCAGUGGCGCAAUCUCAGCUCACUGCAACCUCCACUUCCCUGGUUCCAGUGAUUCUUGUGCCUCAGCUACCCAAGUAGCUGGGAUUACAGGCGUGUAUCACCACACCUGGCUAAUUUUUGUGUUAGUAGAGACAGGUUUUGCUGUGUUGGCCAGGCUGGUCUUGAACUUCUGGCCUCAAGUGAUCCACCUGUCUCAGCCUCCCAAAGUGCUGGAAUUACAGGCAUGAGCCACUGCGCCUGGCCUUCUAUAUUUAAAAACAUUAUCUUCUUAAUGUUGCUUUUGGGAUUAAAAUUAAUAACAUAUUAAUCUAAUUUUGAUUAAUAUCAACUUCAUUUUAAUGGCAUCUAAACACUUUGGUCCUAUAGCUCUGUUCUUUCCCUUCUCCUUUGUGCUGUUAUUGGCAAACAAACUAAUUUUUAUACAUAGAGUAUGCAUCAACACAGAUUUAUAAUUAUUGAAUUAUUUCUCUAUGUGGCUGUCUUUUACAUCAAAUAAAAGAAAGAGUUACAAACAAAAAUACAUGUAUACUGUCUUUUACAUUUGCUUAUGUAGUUAUCUUUAUUGGUACUCUUUAUUUAUAGGUGUGGAUUCUUAUUACUAUCUAGAGCCCUACAAUUC